rnacentral:rRNA from 1 species
AGCGUCCCAUGAGGGGCGAAGCGGCCGUGUGAACGCGCCGUGGACUUCAUGGGAGUGAGAAUGCAGACAUGAGUAGCGAGAGACGGGUGAGGAUCCCGUCCGCUGGAUGACCAAGGGUUCCGGGGCCACGUUCGUCGUCCCCGGGUGAGUCGGGUCCUAAGGCGAGGCCGACAGGCGUAGUCGAAUGGAUGAACGGGUGGAUAUUCCCGUACCGACCAUGGACCGGCAAAACCGAGACGGUGAGUACUAACCUCCGCCUCGUGGUGGUUCCUUCCUUCGGGUUGGUAUCGCCGCGUGGCGUUGGGACUGUAGCCGCAGUAGGUCAGCGCAGGGGUGACACGGAAUGGGAGCCGGCCGCGGAGGUGGUUUUCCGUGGUCAAGCACGCAGCCAGUCAUGUAGGCAAAUCCGCAUGGCGUGCAUGGCGAGGUGUGAUGAUGGGAGCCUUUUGGGCUCGAUAUCCGGUUGUCCAGGCCGUCGAGAAAAGCCUCGGCGUGAGGGCCAUGGCCGCCCGUACCCCAAACCGACACUGGUGGUCAGGUAGAGAAUACCAAGGCGAUCGAGCGAAUCCUGGUCAAGGAACUCGGCAAAUCACUCCCGUGCCUUCGGUAUAAGGGAGACCCACUGGGGUGAAGGACCUUGCGUCCGGAGCUUUGGUGGGUGGCACAGACCAGGGGGUAGCGACUGUUUACCAAAAACACAGGUGCAUGCGAAGGCGAAAGCCGCUGUAUAUGCACUGACGCCUGCCCGGUGCCGGAAGGUUAAGAGGAUCCGUCAGCCUUCGGGUGAAGCGGUGAAUUCAAGCCCCGGUAAACGGCGGUGGUAACUAUAACCAUCCUAAGGUAGCGAAAUUCCUUGUCGGGUAAGUUCCGACCUGCACGAAUGGCGUAACGACUUCCCCACUGUCUCGACCAGGAGCUCGGCGAAAUUGCAGUACGAGUAAAGAUGCUCGUUAAGCGCAGAAGGACGAAAAGACCCCGGGACCUUUACUAUACCUUGGUAUUGGCGUUAGGCGCGGAUUGUGUAGCAUAGGCGGGAGGCUUCGAAGCGGGUGCGCCAGCAUUCGUGGAGCCGCAAGGUGAAAUACCGCUCUGUUCUCGUUUGACGUCUAACCUCGACAAGUCAUCCUUGUCAGGGACAGUGCCUGGCGGGUAGUUCAACUGGGGCGGUUGCCUCCCAAAGAGUAACGGAGGCGCUCAAAGGUCCGCUCAGCCCGGUUGGCAAUCGGGUGUCGAGUGUAAUCGCACAAGCGGGCUUGACUGCGAGGACGACGGUCCGAGCAGGGACGAAAGUCGGGACUAGUGAUCCGGUGCCGGUGUACGGACGCGGCAUCGCUCAACGGAUAAAAGGUACUCCGGGGAUAACAGGCUGAUCUUGCCCAAGAGUCCACAUCGACGGCAAGGUUUGGCACCUCGAUGUCGGCUCAUCGCAUCCUGGGGCUGGAGCAGGUCCCAAGGGUAUGGCUGUUCGCCA